UACGGAGGGGGCUAGCGUUGUUCGGAAUUACUGGGCGUAAAGCGUACGUAGGCGGCUUGGUAAGUUAGAGGUGAAAGCCUGGGGCUCAACCCCAGAAUUGCCUUUAAGACUGCCUCGCUUGAACGUCGGAGAGGUGAGUGGAAUUCCGAGUGUAGAGGUGAAAUUCGUAGAUAUUCGGAAGAACACCAGUGGCGAAGGCGGCUCACUGGACGACUGUUGACGCUGAGGUACGAAAGCGUGGGGAGCAAACAGGAUUAGAUACCCUGGUAGUCCACGCCGUAAACGAUGAUAACUAGCUGUCCGGGCACUUGGUGCUUGGGUGGCGCAGCUAACGCAUUAAGUUAUCCGCCUGGGGAGUACGGCCGCAAGGUUAAA
rnacentral:rRNA from 1 species